rnacentral:tRNA from 1 species
GGGCCUGUAGCUCAGUUGGUUAGAGCAGUCCGCUCAUAACGGAUUGGUCACUGGUUCGAAUCCAGUCGGGCCCACCA